rnacentral:lncRNA from 1 species
GUAGCCUAGUGGUUAGAGUGUAGAGGCGGCAGGUAGCCUAGUGGUUAGAGUGUGGUGGUGGCAGGUAGCCUAGUGGUUAGAGUGUAGAGGAGGCAGGUAGCCUAGUGGUUAGAGUGUAGAGGAGACAGGUAGCCUAGUGGUUAGAGUGUAGAGGAGGCAGGUAGCCUAGUGGUUAGAGUGUAGAGGAGGCAGGUAGCCUAGUGGUUAGAGUGUAGGGGCGGCAGGUAGCCUAGCGGUUAGAGUGUAGGGGCGGCAGGUAGCCUAGUGGUUAGAGGUAGUAGAGGUACUAGAGGUACAGGAGGAAGUAGAGGUACUACAGGAGGAUGUAGAGGUACUACAGGAGGUACUACAGGGGGUAGUAGAGGUACUACAGGAGGUACUACAGGGGGUAGUAGAGGUACUACAGGAGGAAGUAGAGGUACUACAGGGGGUAGUAGAGGUACUACAGGAGGUACUAGAGGAGGAAGUAGAGGUACUAGAGGAGGAAGUAGAGGUACUAGAGGAGGAAGUAGAGGUACUAGAGGAGGAAGUAGAGGUACUAGAGGAGGAAGUAGAGGUACUAGAGGAGGUACUAGAGGAGGAAGUAGAGGUACUACAGGAGGUACUAGAGGAGGAGGUAGAGGUACUACAGGAGGUAGUAGAGGUACUAGAGGAGGUAGUAGAGGUACUAGAGGAGGAAGUAGAGGUACUAGAGGAGGAAGUAGAGGUACUAGAGGAGGUAGUAGAGGUACUAGAGGAGGAAGUAGAGGUACUAGAGGAGGAAGUAGAGGUACUAGAGGAGGAAGUAGAGGUACUAGAGAGACUAGAGAAGAAAUAAGAGCUGAGACCAUUUUCUUCUAGUUGACCUAUGAUCACCUGGGUUACACCAAGAAAACCAUGACAAACCAUUUACCAUGGUCAAGAUAAGGUCUGGGUUGGGUUUAAGAUUUUGGUAAGGGACAAUUAGAUAUAUUAUAACAAAAAGGCAGUGGGUCAUCUCCCCU